UUGCUUUCGUAAUGUUUAGGCAAUGUUUAGAUUCCAGUAUACUAUUUCCUAGAAUAAUUAUAGAAAAAUAAAACAAAAUUCUUUAUUUGUUUAGCUUGUGCACAAUAUAAUUUAGACUGAGGCCUAGUAAGUCAAAGACCUGUGACAGAGAAGCUUCUAAAAUGCAAAAGGAAGGUAUUACAACUGGCGUCAUUUUAAUAUUAUGUCUAAUCUGUCGUCUAAAGUAUGCAAGGGAAUCUGCACAGGACUCUUGUAAAGCACUGAAGAUAAAUAAUGUAUUAACAAAAUCCUUGUUCUGGCUUCAGAUUUCUGCAACAGUAAAAUAUCUGUCUGUGUCGUGAUAAAAAAAACUUAAUAAGCGAGGUGACUCAUGCCGUCUACUUCUAGGGUCUAGGGCAGUGUGUCCCAACGUAGGGCCCACGCCCUAUUCGAAAAUUUAUUAAAAUUAUUUGGAAUUUAAUUUUUAAUUUUUAAAAAUGUACCUACUGUGUUUCCUAGUAAUUAUUUCCUAAAACCUAUCAUUCAGGUUUCUUAAUUGAAUGGUCCACCCAUUAAAUGUUUUAAAAUGUUGUGUUACAUAGAGGGGGCCUAGCCAUUAUAGAAAGACUUAAGGCUACCACUGACGAUACGUCCAUUAAUCCGAAUGGAGUAGUCGUCGUCCAAAAUUGUCCCAUGAAUGGUAAAAAAAUAUUCCAUUUGGAUGGACGUCAGGCAGCUCUGGAUUUCCAAACGGAUUGAAAUCCAUGCGUCCAGGCCAAAUGGACGUCAUCCGAGGCCGUCCGUCAAUGUCAGAAACGUGCGCCACGCCAUAUGGAAGCGGUCCGAAUUGUCCGUGAAUGGGCGAAACGGCGUCCAUUUUUUUGAGGUUAUUGUUUCAGUUUAUGUUUUGAUGUCUAUGGCGGUGCAUGUGCUGUGUAUUUGUCAAGCGAUAAAAAAAAAUUAUUAUGUCUUUAUCCGCGCGUGACUUUGUGUUGGAAGUAAUAGAAAAAUAUAAAUCAUAUCCAUGUUUAUGGCAAGUAAAACAUCCUGAUUAUCACAACAGAGAAAUGCAGCGAUGAAAGCUUUGUUGGAAUUGUUUAAAACAAAGGAUCCAGAAGCCAACCUAGAUACGGUUAAAAAAAGAUUACCACUUUAAGAAAUUGUGUAAAUAGGUUUUUUGUCUUUUUAAUAAAAUACACACAACUGCUGCCACCAGUAAAGUAUUGUUA